rnacentral:rRNA from 1 species
ACGGAAGGCAGCAGUGAGGAAUAUUGGUCAAUGGACGGAAGUCUGAACCAGCCAAGUAGCGUGCAGGAUGACGGCCCUAUGGGUUGUAAACUGCUUUUAACCGGGAAUAAAGAUUGCCACGUGUGGUGAGUUGCAUGUACCGGUUGAAUAAGGAUCGGCUAACUCCGUGCCAGCAGCCGCGGUAAUACGGAGGAUUCGAGCGUUAUCCGGAUUUAUUGGGUUUAAAGGGAGCGUAGGCGGUAGAUCAAGUCAGCUGUGAAAUAUAGGUGCUCAACAUCUGGACUGCAGUUGAAACUGGUUUACUUGAGUGCGUAAGAGGCAGGCGGAAUUCGUCGUGUAGCGGUGAAAUGCUUAGAUAUGACACAGAACACCGAUUGCGAAGGCAGCUCACUGGGACGCAACUGACGCUGAGGCACGAAAGUGCGGGGAUCGAACAGGAUUAGAUACCCUGGUA